rnacentral:tRNA from 2 species
GGAGAGGUGGCCGAGUGGUCGAAGGCGCACGCCUUGAAAGUUUGUCGGCGGGGUACCGUCUGGGGGGUUCGAAUCCCUUUCUCUCCGCCA